AUUGAACGCUGGCGGCAUGCCUUACACAUGCAAGUCGAACGGUAACAGGUUAAGCUGACGAGUGGCGAACGGGUGAGUAAUAUAUCGGAACGUGCCCAGUCGUGGGGGAUAACGCAGCGAAAGCUGUGCUAAUACCGCAUACGAUCUACGGAUGAAAGCGGGGGAUCGCAAGACCUCGCGCGAUUGGAGCGGCCGAUAUCAGAUUAGCUAGUUGGUGGGGUAAAAGCCCACCAAGGCGACGAUCUGUAGCUGGUCUGAGAAGACGACCAGCCACACUGGAACUGAGACACGGUCCAGACUCCUACGGGAGGCAGCAGUGGGGAAUUUUGGACAAUGGGCGAAAGCCUGAUCCAGCAAUGCCGCGUGCAGGACGAAGGCCUUCGGGUUGUAAACUGCUUUUGUACGGAACGAAACGGUCUCUUCUAAUAAAGGGGGCUAAUGACGGUACCGUAAGAAUAAGCACCGGCUAACUACGUGCCAGCCGCCGCAGUAA
rnacentral:rRNA from 1 species